GGCUGCACCUUUCCCUGGUGAUCUUUAUGAGACUGAGCCUCCCACUAAAGCUUGGAUACCUUCAAGGGGGGCAGCGUGUAGGAGUUGCCUGGGGUGUUGAAUCGGUUCUGUGCCCUGACAGUGGUGGUGGUUGCAUGAAUCCAUCCACGUGUCCAAGCUCACAGAACUGUACAAACACACAGACGCAUAGUUCAUUUUAUUCUGUUUCCUUAAAAAAAAAAAAAGGCAAAACCCAUGAAGACACUAACGUAGUGGCCCGUGAGUCAAGAAGUCAAGUUCUCAAGGCCGGCCCAUCUCCUCCAGCAUCGGGGAGUGAUUCCACGGGGACAGACCUGCAGACAGGCUUCUCGAAGGGGCGCUGCCAGGUGCGGGUCUCCCCUCUUUCCUGCGGGGGAACCAAUCCUCUGGGAGACCUGGCAAGCGGCAGAGGCUUCCUCAGAGGCACUGGGAGAAGAGCUCCGCGCCGGGUGCUUGGACUCUCGGCAGCCCGGUGUGGGGCGUGGGCUGAGGCGCGGCACCCCAAGGAGGCUGCGACGGGGAGACAGGUGCAGCGCGGACGGGGCAGGAGAAGCCCGGAGCAGAAGCGGGCCUCGGCGCGCACACACCUCCGGAACGGCCGCCCCCAGGGAGCCCUUGUGGGCAUAAGCGCUUCUUCAGUGAAUGCCAUCUCGAGGAACAAACGGUCUUUGCUUUGUUCCUGCCCCCGCCCCCGAUUAUUUGCUUGGCGGUCUAAGGAAGGACGGCUGCUUCUCACAGGCCAUCAGAACUACCUGGGGUGCUCGCUGACACGGAGAUUCCCGAACCCCACCUUGUGCAGACCUGCCAAGGUAGGGAGACUCUCUGAGAGUAAACCCAAAGCAUCUGCAUCUUACUAAGCACCUUAGAUGAUCCUUGUGACCGCAAAGUUCAGAAACGGCUGGGGGCUCAGCGGCUGAGCUUCUGCCUUCGGCCCAGGCCCAGGCCGUGACCCCGGGGUCCCGGGAUCGAGUCCUGCAUCGGGCUCCCCACAGGGAGCCUGCUUCUCCCUCUGCCUGUGUCUCUGCCCCUCUCUCUGUCUCUCAGGAAUAAAUAAGUAAAAUCUUAAAAAAAAAAAAAAAAACCUGCCUACGGUCUAUUCACUGUAGUUGUUCUCUUCCAUGUCCUUUACUCAUUCCCCCAACACUUGUGGGGCGCAGGCUGGGCCUUGCACAGACGCACAUGGGUUGGGCUGUGUUCGGCAGGAAACGAGGGCUGCAGGAAUCUUCCAAGCAUAAAGUGCCAGAAUGACAUGUGUCACCGAACUAUCUCCCGUUGGCGGCUCGCGGGCGGGGAGAGGAAUACAGAAGGCAGCACCUGCAGAGGAGGGGGCGAGCAGGGCACAGCGAGAGCGCGGCCCACGCCGACCAGG
rnacentral:lncRNA from 1 species